CUUUCUGUGCCAGUGAUGAAUGUGGAGUCAAUAAAAUAAACCACAAAGAACAAGACAAAAAUUGGAAAACAUCCUUUCAUUACCUCUUUUUCUUUAUCUAAGAUGCUCAGUGUACACCAUAAUUCCAGAGCACAAAUUAAAGCAGGCUCUUGCCACCCUAGCAAACUGGACUGUGAUAUCACACUCAUUACAUUCUUCUUUUUAUCAUGUAACAGCCAGGAUGCUAGAAACAAGUUGCAACAUGUGUGGUCUGCCCCGCCCCCAGCACCCCGGCAGAAACCGCACCCCACUUCCCAUAGUCAUGUUCUUCCCCAGACCUUACCCUGCCCAAGAGGUUGUCCUGAAGUAACGUCUGCUGCAGCACUGGGGCCACCUCCUCCAAGCUCAACAUGUGGCAAAGUUCAUUUUUAACGUGCUGGAUUUUCCGAUGAAAGCCUGAAACCUGCACAUCUGAAGGUGCCUUCGCCAUGAUGCAAUGGAUGCCAAACAUGACAUACACCCUUGGGACGGUGACCUCAGCCACCUGCAACAAGGCUCUCAGAACCAGUCCCUUGACUAUAAAAAAAGCAGCAGCUUUCACUAACCAAGCAUCUUUAAUCCAAGCCAAAUUAGAGAAAACUCUCUAAUUUAGAGGUGAUCGUCCGUAUGGCAGAUCAUUACAACAUGAAAAACGUGAGCUAAGAUGUUGAACACAGCCAGAACUGAAAAUAAAAGACCUUUCUGAAACAAA